GCAUCGCGCGCGCGUCGGCUGACGUGGCGGCGGCGGCGUCAUCAGCGUGCCUCGGUGUCCCCUUGGGACUCCGAGGGGAAACGUUAGGUAUUCAGUACCAACUAACAGCCAUAAUGUUAGGUGCUGGGGAUAAAGAGAUGCCAGGUGCCUGCUUUCCAGGAGUUGAUAAACUGGUAAAGACAGAUGAGUUCAAAAGGACAGACAAGAUAGGAUCCUUUCUGAUCCAGGAGAAAAGCGAUAAUUUCUCUAAUACGAUGUUUUGGAGUUUUUUCUGAUUUGGAGUAUUAAGAUUCGCAAAAAACACAGUGGUUAAGGGCACAACAAAAGACUCCAGGAGAAGGCUGAGGGGAAGGAGAAGCAUGUUUGUGAGAACUGGAGUGCAUCCUCACAUGUGCCAUGGUUGGCGUGCCACGAAGCCCAGCUCCUGCUUGGGGAUUUGGGAGAUUAUGCCCAAAGCUACACAAACCAACUGGAGCCAAGAAAGCCAAAUGAGUAAGACACUGUGCAUAGUGGUUUUGGGUGUGUUUUGAAAACAGGCUUCCCUGUGAUGUUAAACAUGAUUAGAAGGAGCCCUGGAACCACCCAGGGUUACGGGCUUUUAUCUUGGGUUUGUGGAUAUUAGACAGUAUCUACAGGGACCUUUUCAUUGUGUUAUCUUCUCGUGGAACAACUGAAAGGGCACCUCCUCAGAGAUUUCCUCCUCCUUUCCUGAUCACCCAAUCUAAAUCUAAAGACCACCCUAUUUCAAUCCUCAGGAGAGCAUUCAUCACUAAUGGCCAGUUCUUUGUUUCCUUGCUUACUGUUUGUCUCACCGCACUAGAUGGUAAGCUUUCAGGGACCAAGUUUUGUCUUGUUCACUAUUGUAUCUCCACCUCCUGGGACUACGCCUGGCACAGGGCAGACCCUCCAUAAGGUGGAGUGAAAAAAUAAAGUGUGAACAAAUAAAGGAAUGGAGACUGUGGUCGGCACAGUCUUAGACUCCCACUCCCUGAUACUGUAUCUGAGACUGUAAAUAUGAUGGGGUAUCACUCCUAUGAUGACGUCAUGUUAUACAUCACAGUUGACUUUAAGAAGGGGAGGUCUACUGGAUGGGCCUAACCAAUCAAUCACACAAGCCGUUUAAACCUGGUCUAGAGGUCGUGGGCAGGGGAAGUAAGAGAUUCAAAGCAUGAGAAGGGGUAUGGAGGGAGCUACAGACCAAGGACCUGCAGGCGCCCUCUUGGAGCUGAGAGCAGCCUCUGGCCAAUGGCCAACCAGUGAAGAGAGGCCUCCAUCCUACAACUGACUGAACUGAAUUCCAUCAACAGGUUGGAUGAGCUUAAAGGCAAAUUCUUCCCCAGAGCCUCCGGAAAGGAAUGAAGCCUGACCAACAUGUAGACUUCAGCCUGGCAGGACACUGAGCAGAGAAUCCAGUCAUUCCACACCUGAACUUCUGCUCUACAGAGCUGUGAGCUAAUAAAUGGGUGUUGUUUUAAAUUACCUCCACAUUUGUGGUAAUCUGUUACACAGCAACAGAAAACUCAUACAAAGGCAUUGUCAGUUUUCUCCGUAUUCAUUAUAGAGGAACAACAAUGAAACACUAAUGAAGUCUAAAAUGUUAAAGCAACUUUACCUUGCAUGAAAUGAAAGUGAAGGUAUACCUCAAUGGAGGAAAAGGGCAAAACUGUGUAAGGUUUAAUUGUACAAGUAGACUGUUGGAGCAAGAGCCCCACAGAAGGAAUCAGAGACUACUCCACAUUGGUGUGUCAGGGUGUGUUUCCUAAAGAACUAGAGCUAUCGUUCCUAGAGAACUAGGAUUAUAAAUACAUCUCAGUUCAUCCCAUAAGCAUGCCAGAUUUGGAGUUUGACAUGGCUUCAAACCCCAUCUUUGCCAUUUACAAGCACUGUGACAUUAGGCACGUAAUCUCUCUUUAGAGAACACAAAAAGGAUGACUUCCUUUGAGGAAUGUUCUAGAAGCCUAACACAGGCUAGAAGCCCAUUAACUGUCAGGACAGAGUGUCAGGGCAGUUGAUUGAAGCUCCUUCCAGAGGUAACUUCCUGGUCCCCAAAUGGUCCUGGAAUCUCUUAAAAGAGCUGCCAUGCCAAUGACGCUUUUGGCUGAGACAUGCCUAAUCUCUCAUUAAAAUCCAAUUAUGGAAAAAAGACGAAAAGAAGAGCCCGUUUGGCUCCCAGGGACCUGGGAUUUAGAAUAUCUAUGGAAAAUGUGGGAUUCUCUUUUUCAAAUGCCCAGACAGUCUGGCUAUUUUCCAAUUCUGUAUCAGUGCCAGCCACUUCUUACUCUUUUCCUGGAGAGCAAGGAAUGAACAGGCUGUGCAAACGGCACAGCAGGCCUGAGACUGCCAUGCUUAGAGAUGCCUGCUGGAAACAGGCCCUUGGCUGGUGUCCGGGAACUUGGAUUUCGGGAGUGCUCCCCACCAUUCCCCGAUUCGAUAAGAGGGAUGAGUGUGCCUAAACUGUGUGCAAACAACGGGGUUCAUGCUGAACACCUGUUUCCUUCCGAGAAUCUGGGAUUUUGGUACAUGCUAGGCAGAAGGUGUCUACGGGACUGGCCCCCAAUAAAACCUGAGUCUCUAGUGAGCUUCCCUGGUCAACAAGAUUUCACAUGUGUUGUCACAACGCACUUAGUCCUGUGUGACGCUACUAGCAGAGGACUGGAAGUUGGGCCUACUUUCCUCUGCACAUCACCCCAUGUGCCUUUUCCUUUUACUGAUGUGGCUUUGUAUCCUCUGGCAGUAAUAAAUUACAGAUAGCCAUGAGGACAGUUAUAUUCCAGAUCCUGGG